AUCAAAAGUCCAAAGCUCUGGGAUGCCAAAAGUUUGCCACCCCCUGCCCUGUUUCUUAAGUUUAGAAGACCAAUAGUAUUCCAGGUUGACUCAGCCUUCUAUCCUUCCAAGGGGUACUGAUAGUAAUAAACCUACCACUGAGGAAGAUCUGCUUCAGGUGAGACUAUUGUCCAGUAGUGGUCCCAAGUUAACCAACUGAAGACCAAGAUACCAUAUCAACCCAAGCCUGCUGAAGGAAGUAAAGCUAUUGCACUCAAACUUCAUGUCAGCCAAAAUCUUCUGAACAUACCAGAGACACCCAACUCUUCAUUGCUUUGGUAGCAAGCAAGGAAGAUUAAAGCCAUUUAGAAGUGAAGUCACCAAGCUGGACAAUUUCAGACCCUUUUAGAGCCUGGAAUUCAUAUGGAUGCUAGAACCACUUGGACAGUAGCUAGAAACAGAAGGUGGCUUCACAUCCCUUGGAAAUGGAUGAAAAAGAGAUCCACAGACCAUUUUACAUUCACUUUAAAGUAGUUUCAUUCUCUUCUCCACCCAACUCCUUGACUGACAGAAAGCUGUUGGAGAUUUUUUUUUUACUAUUUAUGGUGUUUACUUAGGUUGAGCAUGGGGAAAACAAGCAAACACCCAAUGUUUGUCUUUACACCAACUUCCAUUUCCCCAAAGGAGGUAAGAUACCACUGAAGCCUCUACGGGUGAUUUGUUUUUGUGGUCUAAACAGAUUUUUGGCUAUAUUCUGGUGAAAAGUUUCUUUCAGCCUCACCCAAAGAGCACCAAAGUGCACCAACCACCACCCAUCAAAGCCAUUAAAAAUAUCUCAAAAGCCUUGAAAGUCCUUCUGCAUAUCCAGAGGCAAUGAAUACUGUACAGUUUUUCUUGAACAUGCAAAGCCUUUCAGUGUCUAAUCAGUUCUGCCUUUAACUGAUC